AGAGUUUGAUCCUGGCUCAGGAUGAACGCUAGCGGCAGGCUUAACACGAUGCAAGUCGAGGGGUAACGCGAGGUAGCAAUACUUGGCGACGACCGGCGCACGGGUGCGUAACGCGUAUGCAACCUGCCUUGUACAGGGGGAUAACGGAGUGAAAAUUCCACUAAUAUCCCAUGGUGUUGGGGGAUCGCAUGGUUUCUCAACUAAAGCUUCGGUGGUACAAGAUGGGCAUGCGUGACAUUAGGUAGUUGGCGGGGCAGCGGCCCACCAAGCCGACGAUGUCUAGGGGAGCUGAGAGGCUUAUCCCCCCACACUGGUACUGAGACACGGACCAGACUCCUACGGGAGGCAGCAGUGAGGAAUAUUGGUCAAUGGACGGAAGUCUGAACCAGCCAUGCCCGCGUGGAGGAAGAAGGUCCUAUGGGUUGUAAACUCCUUUUGUUCCGGAGUAAUAAGGUCUUUGCGAAGACCGAUGAGAGUACGGGGCGAAUAAGCAUCGGCUAACUCCGUGCCAGCCGCUGC
rnacentral:rRNA from 1 species